rnacentral:rRNA from 1 species
UACGUAGGGGGCAAGCGUUGUCCGGAUUUAUUGGGCGUAAAGAGCUCGUAGGCGGUCUGUUGCGUCUGCUGUGAAAACUCGGGGCUUAACCCCGAGCCUGCAGUGGUUACGGGCAGACUAGAGGUAGGUAGGGGAGAAUGGAAUUCCCGGUGUAGCGGUGAAAUGCGCAGAUAUCGGGAGGAACACCGGUGGCGAAGGCGGUUCUCUGGGACGGUACUGACGCUGAGACGCGAAAGCGUGGGGAGCGAACAGG